rnacentral:rRNA from 1 species
AUACGUAGGGGCCUGACGUUGUUCGGAAUCAUUGGGCGUAAAGGGCGCGCAGGCGGCCGUCCAAGUCCGGUGUUAAAUGGUCGGGCUCAACCCGAUCAUGCGCUGGAAACUGGGCGGCUUGAGUCCCGUAGGGGAUGCCGGAAUUCCAGGUGUAGGGGUGAAAUCUGUAGAUAUCUGGAAGAACACCGAUGGCGAAGGCAGGCAUCUGGCCGGAGACUGACGCUGAGGCGCGAAGGCGCGGGGAGCGAACAGGUUUAGAUACCCUGGUAGUCCGCGCAGUAAACGAUGCGCACCAGGUGUCGGGCGGCAGCGCCCGGUACCGGAGCUAACGCGAUGAGUGCGCCGCCUGGGGAGUAUGCCCGCAAGGGUGAAACUCAAAGGAAUUGGCGGGG